GACCAACGCUGGCGGUAUGCCUAACACAUGCAAGUCGAACGGACAGACCAGGGAAGCUUUUCGGAGUGGAACUGGAAAGUUAGUGGCGGAUGGGUGAGUAACGCGUGGACAACCUACCUUGUAAAGGGGAAUAACCUCGAGAAAUCGAAGCUAAUACCCCAUAAUAACCUUGCUUCGCAUGAAGUAAGGAGGAAAGGCGGCCUUAGCGCUGUCGAUACAAGAUGGGUCCGCGUCUGAUUAGCUAGUUGGUGAGGUAAAGGCUCACCAAGGCGACGAUCAGUAGCCGGCCUGAGAGGGUGAACGGCCACAUUGGGACUGAGACACGGCCCAAACUCCUACGGGAGGCAGCAGUGGGGAAUCUUCCGCAAAGGGCGAAAGCCUGACGGAGCAAUGCCGCGUGAGUGAAGAAGGCCUUCGGGUUGUAAAACUCUGUCCUUAUCGAAGAGAGAGUGUUGUAGUAACUGACAAUACUAGGACGGUAGAUGAGGAGGAAGCCCCGGCUAACUAUGUG
rnacentral:rRNA from 1 species